GAUGGGAGAGAGAGAAACUCCUGUACUACCCUCCCCAGGCCCUGGGACAAUUCCUGUGCUCUCACUGGGCGCCGCGGGGUGUUGGGCAGACCCUUCAGGGCCACAUUCCAGGAAUUUGGAGGACUGUAUUCCCGAAGGCGGUGACCAGUCUGCACUCGCAGCGAGCGUCUGAAAGGCGGUGGAUCGGACUUUGAUGGGAGGGAACUGGCAGCCACAGGGUCCCUAGGUGUGUACCACCAUCCACAGCUGAUGCUUGGUGGCACUGGGCUGAUGUAGACUGGCAUCCAUCUACUUGGGCCAGACCAUGCUGUGUCCUCCUAUGAGUCUCUGUGGUGAAGGCCAACAGUGCUGGCAGGGAAAUACAUUUCCUCCUCUUCUGGGAGCUCCCAACCUCAGAAGAUGAAUUCUGUGGAAUAUGAUUGUUAUCACCUCAUGGCGAGCAUAGCUGUCUCCCUGUUACAAGCUGGUUUCGUUGGACGCGAGGGCACCAGGAGCACACCGAGGGACAGACAUACCCCUGCCCCAGGGGAAUGAUCCCUGAGAGCAGAAGCCGGAGGAAAGUGGCACCUCUUCCCCUUUCCCAUACUACUUCCUCCCACCAAGGGGUGGAAGGGUCUGAGGUAGAGGAACCUGGGUAAUAAGAGUGCAUCUAGUGGGUAGAUGAGAACACAGGUCCAGCAACAGCCUAGGGUCCAAGCUCUGGCUCUGGAUAACUGGAUAAUUGGUGACCCAUCACUUCAGGAUUGCCCCCCAAGGCUUGACGUUUAUUCCAAUUUUUUGAGCCUCUCUAGGAAGCCAGAAGGCUCUGCCCAGGAAGGAUGGCUUAGUGAAGUUUUCUCCUUGGUCUUUGGCGACACCUGGUGGUCACUGGCCAUCAUAGUACUGACUUGCCUCAGGCAGAUCCUCAGAAGCCGUCUUUCAUAUCUUCUCAUUUCAUCCAGAGGGCUCAAAGAGCUGCAAAGCUCUGCGCAAUCACACCACAAUUUAUUCCUUUUUUUCAUUCAUUGUUUUUUUUUUUAAAGAGAGAGAGAGAGAGAGAGAGAGAGAGAGAAUAUGAGAAUUUCAAUAUUUGUUUUUUAGUUUUUUUGGCGGACACAACAUCUUUGUUUGUAUGUGGUGCUGAGGAUGGAACCCGGGCCGCACACAUGCCAGACACAGAAUCUCACCAAAUUGCUGAGUCUGGCCUUGAAUGUGGGAUCCUUCCUCCUCUUCCUCUCCAGUCACUGGGAAUGCAGGUGUGUGCCACUGCUCCUGACUCCUCCUUUCUUAUUUGUUAAAAUGUGAAUGAGCACAGCCCAAGUGCCAUGGUACUGGUGACACAAGAAGCCAAGACAGCCUCUGGGUGGAUGGUGGUACCCUGAUGAGCAUAAGACUGGAGGAGGAAGAGGCUGGGAGGAAUCACCAAGAAGUCUGUUUUGGCCAGGCCUGAGGUUGGGCGAGUUUGAGAUGCCUGUUGGAUGUUUGGGAAGGAUGCCAAGGAUAUGAAGUAGAAGUCUGGAGCCUGGGAGAGGGUCAAGCCUGAGAAUUCAGUUUUGGGAGCCACAGAGAUAAACUUUGGCACCAAGGUACAAGUAAGAUGAGGGGUGGGGAGAAGGAGAAAGAAAGGUGUAUCUGAGGUUCGCUUGUAAACAGCAGUACUUAAAAAAAUUGUUUUUCUGUACUGGGGAUUGAAUGCAAGGAUCUUUUACCACCGAGCCACAUCCCCAGCCCUUUUUUAAAAAUUUUUUUUUAAAUAUUUAUUUUUCAGUUUUCGGUGGACCCAACAUCUUUGUUUUAUUUUUUAUGUGGUGCUGAGGAUCGAACCCAGCGCCCCGCGCAUGCCAGGCGAGCACAUUACCGCUUGAGCCACAUCCCCAGCCCCCCCAGCCCCUUUUUUUUUCUUUUUUUAAUUUUGAAAGAUGGGAAUAUAGUUUAGAUUCAUUUUAUAUGGAUUCAUUAAUGACUUAUACCUCAUAGGAAAUAUCACAAAAUGUUACUGCCCCGUGCAUUUUUUUUUUAAUAUUUAUUUUUUAGUAUUUGGCAGACACAACAUCUUUGUCUGUAUGUGGUGCUGAGGAUCGAACCCGGGUCGCAUGCAUGCCAGGCGAGCGCGCUACAACUUGAGCCACAUCCCCAGCCCCUGCCCCGUGCAUUUUUGCAAAGAAUAAACAAUUCAGGGAGAGUAUUAACCUUCACAUAUGUAGUUAGAGUUUAGAAAUGCACAAAAGCUUGAGUAACAAACACUUUAAACUUAUUUUUUAAACAUUAAACGAGCCUGUUCCCUCCAAACUGGUUGAUUACAAAGUCUCAUGAUGAAUUACUAACUGUGAUAAAACUAAGAGAAAAAUCAGGAGACUUGAGAACAAAAGAAUAUCCAAUUUUGCCAAUAUCAAAAGACAAAUCAAACCAUUUAUUGUAAUAGAAAAGAAAACAAAACAAAUCCAUGUAAUUAAAUACUAGUGAAAACUUUAUGGGGCAUAUGAUAUUUUCUCUACAUAAGUUUGCAUAUGUUUAAUGUAAACUGUCAUGUUUAAAUUUCAAUUAAAGAAUGUCAUACAUGGAAUUCUUUUUAUUUUUUUCUGGUGGUGGUGCUGUGGAUUGAACCCAGAGCUUUGUGAAUGUGAGGCAAACAUUCUACCAACUGAGCUAUAUCCUCAGCCCCUACAUGUAAUUCUUGAUGAAUCUAAAUGUAAUGGAAUGAAGAUUUAAAUAGAUCAAGGACCACAUCAUUUUAUUGGGUCAUUAUUGUGUUAAUGCUUUAGUGGUUUUCUUUUAAUUUAUUGGACUAAGCCAAUUUUAGAGGUAGAAUCUACAAUCAAAGCAUAUAGAGUGUAGCUGAAAAAACUAAAUGGUAUAGUCUUCAGUAUGUCAGAAGCAGUGAUUGUGCACUGUUUGAGGAGGUAUCCUAGCAGCCUGUGUGCCUUUGACUUGCAGCACUUCUGGAUUUCCUCCACUUCUGUGCUGCUGUCCAGCCCUACAAGAAGAAGACUCCAUGUCUCCAUAGGAAGCUAUCACUUUUUGCUUUGGUUCCUGGGAUUGAACCAGGGGCACUAACCACUGAGCCACAUCCCCAGCGCUUUAGAGGAAAAUCUGGCUAAAUUGUCCAGGCUGGCCUGGAAUUGCUGCAGUCUUCCCUCAGUAGUUCCUGAGUCUCUGGGGAUCACAGGCUUGAGCCACCAUGCCCAGCCUGGAAUAAACUAUUUUUUUUUUUGUUUUGUUCUGGGGAUUGAACCCAGGGUGGCUUAACCAUUGAGCCACAAACCCCACCCUUUUGAUUCUUUAUGUAGAGAUAGGGUCUUGCUAAGUUGCUUAGGGUCUCACUUAGUUGCUGAGGCUGGCAUCAAACUUUCAAUCCUCUUGCCUCAGCCUCCUGAGCUGCUGGGUUGCAGGUGUGCACCAAUGUACUCGGCUGUGUUUAUUUUUUGAGAUAUGAUCCUGACAUGUCAUCCACUCCCUUUGUAAUUGAUCCUUCAACCUCAGCCACAUAGUUGGCAUUACCAGCAUGUGCUAUAACCCAGCUGCACAUAUCUUUAAUAAACUAUUUUCUUGGGAAAAAAAAAGAAAGAAGUAGUGAUUGUGAUUAAACAAAAUUGCUAGAAGUAAAAACCAGGGACAGUGGUGCAUGCCUGUAAUCCCAGCAGCAUAGGAGGCUGAGACGGGAGGAUCGCAAGUUCAAAACCACCCUCACCCUUGGUGAGGCACUAAGCAACUCAGUGAGACCCUGUGUCUAAGUAAAAUAGAGCAGGGGAUGUGGAUCAGUGGUUGAGAGCCUCUGAGUUCAAUCCCCGGUACCCUUUCCCCCCAAAAAUUACUGCAAUCCAUGUAUAAAAUAACAUUUUAGAAGUUUUUUAUGAUGUUUGCACUGUAAUAAAAUCAAUCUGAAUAAUGUAAGUAAUAUGUGCUUAAUCAUGAAUAAAUGAAAUUUCUGGUUAACUCUG